UCGCAUUGGUCUCAAACCAAUGACAUCCAUUUCGAAGACCAUGAGUUUGAGGUGGACGAGGAGGGUGAGGGCAUUGUCGACGCGCCGAAAGGAAGAGCGGGCAAUUACACCAGCAACGAUGACAAGUUACUAUGCUAUACUUAUUUGCAAGUGUCGAGGGAUCCAUCCAUUGGAGGUGAUCAAAGUAGAGAUGCGUAUUGGGGGAGAAUGAAAGAACACUUUGAUGCUCACAACGUGAGUGGAAUUGACCGCUCCGAGAGAUCACUUCGGUCCCGAUGGUCGACAAUCAACUCGGAUUGUCAAAAGUGGGCGACCGCACAAAAGGCAGUUGACAAGAUUAACCCAAGUGGCACAAAUGAGGAUGAUUGA
rnacentral:rRNA from 1 species